rnacentral:rRNA from 1 species
CGAGAAUUGUGGUCAAGCUACAAAGGGCUUAUGGUGGAUGACUUGGCACAAACAGGCGACGAAGGACGUGGUAAGCUGCGAUAAGCCUCGGGUAAUCGCAAACAGAUUUUGAUCCGAGGAUUUCCGAAUGGAGCAAUCCACUGGGAUUCAUCUCCCAGUAUCCCGCUCUGAAAAUUUAAAAAUAGGGGCGGGAGGCUAGACCGGGCAAACUGAAACAUCUCAGUAGCCCGAGGAAGAGAAAAAGCCAUUGAUUCCCUCAGUAGCGGCGAGCGAAAGGGGAAUAGCCUAAACUCCGCAGCAAUGCGGAGGGUUGCGGGACCAGAUCUGACCGUAAGGUCGGCUUUGUGUAUAUUCAUAGUUGAACAGCCUGGAAAGGCUGACCAAAGAAGGUGAUAGUCCUGUAAAUUAAAUGAAUAUACCGAGGCUGGAUUUGGCACCCAAGUACUACGGGACACGUGGAACCCUGUAGGAAUCCGGCCCGACCACGGGCCAAGGCUAAAUACUAGUUUGUGACCGAUAGCGCAAAAGUACCGUGAGGGAAAGUUGAAAAGAACUCCUUUAAGGAGAGUGAAAUAGUACCUGAAAUCGUAAGCCUACAAGCUGUCUGAGGACUAUGUCUGCCGCAAGGCAGAAAUGUCUAAGGGCGUGCCUUUUGCAUAAUGAUCCUGCGAGUUACUUGUGUGCAGCGAGGUUAAUCAGCAUUGAGCUGAGGAGCCGUAGCGAAAGCGAGUCCGAAUAGGGCGUCCAGUUGCAUGCAGUAGACCCGAAGCUGGGUGAUCUAUUCUUGGCCAGGCUGAAGCGUGAGUAAAAUCACGUGGAGGGCCGAACCCGUUAGUGUUGAAAAACUAUGGGAUGAGCUGAGAAUUGGAGCGAAAGACUAAUCAAACCCAGAAAUAGCUGGUUCUCCCCGAAAUAACUCUAGGGUUAGCCUCGUGUAAAUGGGCGACGGGGGUAGAGUACUCGAUGGGCUAAGGACCCCACCAGGUUGCUGAACCCAACGAAACUCCGAAUACCGUUGUACCUUAUCACGGGAGUCAGCCUACGAGGGAUAAGCCUCGUGGACGCGAGAGGAACAUCUCAGACCGCUAGCUAAGGUCCCUAAUAUACGUUAAGUGGCAAAGGAUGUGGACUUACACAGACAACCGGGAUGUUGGCUCAGAGGCAGCCAUCAUUUAAAGAGUGCGUAACAGCUCACCGGUCGAUCGCGAGUCUGCGCCUACAAUGAUCGGGGCUAAACGUAUAACCGAAGCUGCGGAUUAUCUCAUCUUCGGAUGAGGUAGUGGUAGGGGAGCAUUCCACGUUAGAGUGAAGGUAGACCGAGAGGACUACUGGACGAAGUGGAAGUGAUAAUGCAGGAAUGAGUAGCGAAAAAGCCCGUGCGAAACGGGCUCACCGAAAGUCUAAGGUUUCCUGGGGAAGGUUAAUCCGCCCAGGGUUAGUCGUGCCUAAGCUGAGGCCGAAGGGCGUAAGCGAUGGACAGUAGGGCAAAAUAUUCCUACACCAUCUAUUUGGCGCUAUCAGUACAGAGCGACGCAGGAGGUUAAGUCUACCCGGUGUUGGAUGUCCGGGGUUGCACCUGUAGAGUCCGCCGAGAGGCGGAAAUUCAAGGGGUGCGAGGAUCCCAAUCUACGGAGCGGGAGAACUGGCCCACACCAUACUGCCAAGAAAAACCUCUGUUACGAGUCAAGUAGGUGCACGUACCGCAAUCCGACACAGGUAGACGGGCAUAAUAUGCUCAGGUGAUCGAGAGAACCCUCUUUAAGGAACUCGGCAAAAUGACCCCGUAACUUAGGGAAAAGGGGUGUCUCCGUUGGUAAGCCGUACAGGCAAGCUGACGGGGAUCACAGUUAAGAGGAUCGGAUGACUGUUUAGCAAAAACACAGCACUCUGCAAAGUCGUUGAUACAAGACGAUGUAUAGGGUGUGACACCUGCCCGGUGCUGGAAGGUUAAGGGAAAGGGUUAGUUGGAUUCGUCCGACGAAGCCUAGAACUGAAGCCCCAGUAAACGGCGGCCGUAACUAUAACGGUCCUAAGGUGAAUUCGUUGCCUUAGUAAAAUCUAGCCAUAUGCUGGAAACCCUGAGAAUGCCAAACUACCUCUUAAAUUUUUUGAAAGAAAAUAGACGAAAGAUACGUCUAUAUAUUUAAGAGGUGAAAAUGUUAUGGCUGCAGGCAAUCAGCAGGAAAGACUGAUUAAGCUAGGUUGGGUAAUUGGUUUUGUAGAUGGAGAAGGUUGCUUUUCAGUUGGAUUUAUAAAGCAACCUAACCGUGGUAAGCGGAAAGGCUACAAAACAGGCUAUCAAGUCAGUCACGAGUUUGUGGUUACGCAGGGUGCCAAAAGUAUCAAAAGCCUAUAUGAUAUCGCUGAAUUCUUUAAGGUUGGACAGAUCUUGGUUAACAAGAGGUAUGACAACCAUAAAGAACAUCUGUAUCGUUACGUUGUUAGAAAACGGGAUGAUUUGUUGAAUGUGAUAAUUCCAUUCUUUAGACGGUAUAGGAUGCGUUCGGCAAAACAGAUAGAUUUUGAGAAAUUUGCACAAUGUGUAGAGUUAAUGCAAAAAGAAGUUCAUUUGGCUCGUGACGGAUUAAUGAAAAUAGUCGAAAUCGCUCAAACGAUGAACAGAAAGAAACCCAGAAACGGCUUAAUCAGAAUCCUCAGAGACCAUACGCUGGAUCUGCCAUAGAACAUCGGCAGAAAGAUAUGGUCCCAUCUGCAUGGCGACAUGCAGGAGUGAUUUUUAGAGGAAGAAAAUCACUCGCUCAAAUGAAAUUGAGCAAGAUUUUAAGCGAAAUUCCUUGUCGGGUAAGUUCCGACCCGCACGAAUGGUGUAACAAUCUGAUCGCUGUCUCAAAGAGGGGUUCGGCGAAAUUGUAGUGGCGGUGAAGAUGCCGUCUUCCCGCGAAUAGACGAAAAGACCCCAGAACCUUUACUGUACUCUGGUAUUGGAUUUUGGUCCAGUAUGUGUAGGAUAGGUGGGAGGCUUUGAAGUCCCGGCGCUAGCCGGGAUGGAGCCAACGUUGAAAUACCACCCUUACUGUAUUAGAAUUCUAACCUCGUCCCUUUUAACAGGGCGUGGAACAGUGCUAGACGGGCAGUUUGACUGGGGCGGUUUCCUCCUAAAGAGUAACGGAGGAGCACAAAGGUUCCCUCAGUGCGGUUGGCAAUCGCACGGUGAGUGUAAGGGCAGAAGGGAGCUUAACUGUGAGUCCGACAGGACGAACAGAUGCGAAAGCAGGUCCUAAUGAUCCGGCGGUUGAAUGUGGAAUUGCCGUCGCUCAACGAAUAAUAGGUACUCUGGGGAUAACAGGCUUAUCGGUUCCGAGAGUUCAUAUCGACGAACCGGUUUGGCACCUCGAUGUCGGCUCAUCGUAUCCUGGGGCUGGAGAAGGUCCCAAGGGUCCGGCUGUUCGCCGGUUAAAACGGUACGCGAGCUGGGUUCAGAACGUCGUGAGACAGUUCGGUCUCUAUCUUUCGCGGGUGCAGGAUACUUGCGAGGAGUUGCCCGUAGUACGAGAGGACCCGGGCAAACGAACCUCUGGUGUUCCAGCUGUCACGCCAGUGGCAAAGGCUGGGUAGCCAUGUUCGGAAGGGAUAAGCGCUGAAAGCAUCUAAGCGCCAAGCCCACCUCAAAACUAGGUAUCCCCUCCGCCUUAGGCGGAGUCGAAGGCACCUUGGAGUCUACAAGGUUGAUAGGCCGGAAGUGUAAGCCCUGUAAGGGGCGUGCUUACCGGUACUAAUAUGCCGACCGGCUUGGCCAC